rnacentral:misc_RNA from 1 species
UACGAAGGGUGCAAGCGUUACUCGGAAUUACUGGGCGUAAAGCGUGCGUAGGUGGUUCGUUAAGUCCGAUGUGAAAGCCCUGGGCUCAACCUGGGAAUGGCAUUGGAUACUGGCGGGCUAGAGUGCGGUGGAGGGUAGUGGAAUUCCCGGUGUAGCAGUGAAAUGCGUAGAGAUCGGGAGGAACAUCCGUGGCGAAGGCGACUACCUGGACCAGCACUGACACUGAGGCACGAAAGUGCGGGGAUCAAACAGG